rnacentral:rRNA from 1 species
AGUGAACGCUGGCGGUAGGCCUAACACAUGCAAGUCGAACGGCAGCACAGUAAGAGCUUGCUCUUACGGGUGGCGAGUGGCGGACGGGUGAGGAAUACAUCGGAAUCUACUUUUUCGUGGGGGAUAACGUAGGGAAACUUACGCUAAUACCGCAUACGACCUACGGGUGAAAGCAGGGGAUCUUCGGACCUUGCGCGAUUGAAUGAGCCGAUGUCGGAUUAGCUAGUUGGCGGGGUAAAGGCCCACCAAGGCGACGAUCCGUAGCUGGUCUGAGAGGAUGAUCAGCCACACUGGAACUGAGACGCGGUCCAGACUCCUACGGGAGGCAGCAGUGGGGAAUAUUGGACAAUGGGCGCAAGCCUGAUCCAGCCGUACCGCGUGGGUGAAGAAGGCCCUCGGGUUGUAAAGCCCUUUUGUUGGGAAAGAAAAGCAGCAGGUUAAUACCCCGCUGUUCUGACGGUACCCAAAGAAUAAGCACCGGCUAACUUCGU